rnacentral:rRNA from 1 species
GACGAACGCUGGCGGCGUGCUUAACACAUGCAAGUCGAACGGAAAGGCCCUGCUUUUGUGGGGUGCUCGAGUGGCGAACGGGUGAGUAACACGUGAGUAACCUGCCCUUGACUUUGGGAUAACUUCAGGAAACUGGGGCUAAUACCGGAUAGGAGCUCCUGCUGCAUGGUGGGGGUUGGAAAGUUUCGGCGGUUGGGGAUGGACUCGCGGCUUAUCAGCUUGUUGGUGGGGUAGUGGCUUACCAAGGCUUUGACGGGUAGCCGGCCUGAGAGGGUGACCGGCCACAUUGGGACUGAGAUACGGCCCAGACGCCUACGGGAGGCAGCAGUGGGGAAUAUUGCACAAUGGGCGGAAGCCUGAUGCAGCAACGCCGCGUGCGGAAUGACGGCUUUCGGGUUGUAAACCGCUUUCGCCUGUGACGAAGCGUGAGUGACGGUAAUGGGUAAAGAAGCACCGGCUAACUACGUG